rnacentral:rRNA from 1 species
GACGUAGGGCGCGAGCGUUGUCCGGAUUUAUUGGGCGUAAAGAGCUCGUAGGCGGCUUGUCGCGUCGUCCGUGAAAACCCACAGCUCAACUGUGAGCUUGCGGUCGAUACGGGCAGGCUAGAGUUCGGUAGGGGAGACUGGAAUUCCUGGUGUAGCGGUGAAACGCGCAGAUAUCAGGAGGAACACCGGUGGCGAAGGCGGGUCUCUGGGCCGAUACUGACGCUGAGGAGCGAAAGCGUGGGGAGCGAACAGG